ACGAAAAUCAAUUCCCUUACGCAUAACGCAGAGAGAGCAAAGACAGGGGAAUCGUGUUCGUGCAUUGAAGAAACUAAGUGCCUUAGGAGUUGAUUUUAUUUUUCUGGUUUUCUGGGCAAUGGAAGAUUCAGAAAAAAAGAGGCAUCGUGAGAGGAGAGAUAGGGAUAAGGAUAGAGAACGGCGUCGUUCCGAGAUGGAGAAGAGCGGCGAUUCCGAUAGAGAAAAGGAAAGGGACAGAGAAAAGCAUCGGGAACGGUGUCGUUCUGAGAGGGAUAAUAGCAGUGAUUCGGAUAGAGAAAAAGAAAGGGACAAAGAAAAGCAUCGAGAACGGCGUCGUUCUGAGAAGGAGAAGAGCAGUGAUUCCGACAGAGAAAAGGAGAGGGAAAAAGAAAAAUACCGAGAACGGCGUCGUUCCGAGAGAGAGAAGAGCAGUGAUUCCGAUAGAGAGAAGGAGAGGGAGAAAGAAAAACACCGUGAAAGAGGGAGGGAAAGGAAAGACAGGGAACGGGAGAAAGAGAGGGAGAGGGAAAGAGCUAGGGAGAAGGAAAGGGAGAAGCGUGAAAGGGAAAGAGAAAGGGAGAAGAGAGAAAGGGAAAGGGAAAGGCAAAGGGAAAAACAAAGGGAGAGGGAGAGGGAGAGGGAGAGGGAGAGGGAGAGGGAGAGGGAGAGGGAAAGGGAAAGAGAAAGAGAAAGGAAGUUAAGGGAAAGGGAGAAGCGGAGGGAGUAUGACAGUGAUGAUAGUAAGGAGGAGAAAGAACAAAAUAGGAAACGUCGAAGGAGGGAGCAGGAUGAUGAUGAUGACUGUAAUAAUGAUUAUAAGGAGAAGGAGAGCAAAUCAAAUAGAGGAGAGAGUCCGGUUAGGAAAAAGAGCAGCAUAGAAGAGUCAGAGAAGGGGCAGAAAAGUAGGGAGGAGGAGAUGGAAGACGAACAACGUAAAUUGGAUGAGGAGAUGGAGAAAAGGAGGAGGAGGGUUCAAGAAUGGCAAGAGUUGAGGAGGAAGAAGGAAGAGGCAGAGAGAGAAAAACGCGGGGAAGGGAAUGCUGUGGAGGAGGAGGAGCCUAAGGUUGGUAAGGCUUGGACUCUCGAAGGGGAAUCGGAUGACGAUGAAGCCAGAUCUCCAAUGAAACCAGAGACAGAUAUGGAUGUGGAUGAUAACGAGAAAUCUAAGCCAGAUGGUAAGGAAAUUGGAGAUGCGAUGGUUGAAGAUAGUAAUUCUGAGGAUGGAAAAGAUAAAAUGGUUGUCGACCAAAAUGGGGGUAAUGAGGGUGCUGUGGAUGAAGAUGAAAUUGAUCCAUUAGAUGCUUUUAUGAAUUUAAUGGUGUUACCUGAAGUUGAGAAGCUAAGUACUGCAGUUGUUGAUCCUCCUCCUAGUGGUAAUAAUGGGAACUUGAAGAAUGACAAAAAAGAUGGCUUGAGUAAUGGUGGACUGCAGCAGCCAAAGAAAGGCUCGAACAAGGCACUUGGGAGAAUCAUUCCUGGGGAAGAUUCGGAUUCAGAUUACGGGGAUAUUGAAAAUGUCGAAGAGAAUUUAGAAGAUGAAGAUGAUGAUGAGUUUAUGAAAAGGGUAAAGAAGACAAAAGCUGAGAAGCUAUCGAUUGUUGACCACACAAAGAUUGAUUAUAAACCUUUCAGGAAAAAUUUCUAUAUUGAAGUUAAGGAGAUCUCUAGAAUGACACCUGAGGAAGUGGCUGCUUACAGGAAGGAAUUGGAACUGAAGUUACAUGGAAAGGAUGUGCCGAAACCAAUCAAAACCUGGCAUCAAACUGGACUCGCAAGUAAAAUAUUAGAAACAAUAAGGAAGCUCAAUUAUGAGAAGCCAAUGCCAAUUCAAGCUCAGGCGCUGCCCAUAAUUAUGAGUGGUCGAGAUUGCAUUGGCGUAGCAAAAACCGGCUCUGGUAAAACCCUAGCUUUUGUGCUACCUAUGUUAAGGCAUAUUAAAGAUCAGCCACCUGUAGUAGCUGGAGAUGGACCUAUUGGGCUCAUUAUGGCACCUACAAGGGAGCUUGUCCAGCAAAUUCACAGUGACAUAAAGAAGUUUACCAAGGCAAUGGGAAUCAGAUGUGUUCCUGUCUAUGGAGGUUCUGGUGUUGCCCAGCAGAUUAGUGAAUUAAAGCGGGGAACAGAGAUUGUUGUAUGUACUCCAGGUAGGAUGAUUGAUAUACUUUGUACUAGUGGGGGGAAAAUUAGCAAUCUGCGUAGAGUGACAUACUUCGUUCUGGAUGAAGCUGACAGAAUGUUUGAUAUGGGUUUUGAACCUCAAAUUACUCGAAUUGUUCAAAAUAUUCGACCUGAUCACCAAACUGUGCUAUUUUCUGCCACAUUCCCUCGCCAGGUCGAGAUUUUGGCCCGUAAAGUAUUGAAUAAACCUGUUGAAAUACAGGUUGGUGGGAGAAGUGUUGUGAAUAAGGACAUAACUCAGUUGGUCGAGAUGAGGCCAGAAAGUGAAAGGUUCCUAAGAUUGUUAGAACUUCUCGGUGAAUGGUAUGAGAAGGGGAAAAUUCUGAUCUUUGUCCACACCCAAGAAAAGUGUGAUGCUUUGUUCAGGGAUUUGCUCAAACAUGGUUAUCCUUGCUUGUCACUUCAUGGGGCCAAGGAUCAAACUGAUCGAGAAUCCACCAUUUCUGAUUUUAAGAGCAACGUCUGCAAUUUGUUGAUUGCAACAAGUGUUGCAGCUAGGGGUUUAGAUGUAAAGGAGCUCGAAUUAGUGAUUAAUUUUGAUGUUCCAAAUCAUUAUGAAGACUAUGUUCACCGUGUUGGUAGGACUGGUAGAGCUGGAAGGAAAGGCUUUGCUAUCACAUUUAUCUCUGAGGAUGAUGCAAGAUAUGCACCAGAUCUUGUAAAAGCUUUAGAGCUCUCUGAGCAAGUUGUUCCUGAUGACCUGAAAGCUCUUGCUGAUGGAUUUAUGGCUAAAGUAAAUCAGGGACUUGAGCAGGCCCACGGAACAGGUUAUGGUGGAAGUGGUUUUAAAUUCAAUGAAGAGGAAGAUGAAAAGAGAAAAGCAGCAAAGAAAGCGCAAGCAAAAGAAUACGGGUUUGAGGAAGACAAGUCAGAUUCAGAAGAUGAAGAUGAAGGGGUGCGGAAGGCAGGUGGUGACAUAUCACAGCAGACAGCACUUGCUCAGAUAGCUGCCAUGGCUGCUGCCUCCAAAGCUAGUACUGGUUUGAUGCAGAAUCCUCUAUCAUCUGCUCAACUGCUUCCUAAUUCUGUGUUGCCUAUUUCUCUUCCUGGUGUGCUUGGUGUGUCAAUGCCCAGUACUGCAGCAGUUGUUCCUGGUAGUGGGUUGCCGGGUCUUCCAAAUGAAGAGGCUGCUCGAAAAGCUGCACUGCAAGCUGCUCUCAAUUUACAGCAUAACUUAGCGAAGAUUCAAGCUGAUGUUAUGCCUGAACAUUAUGAAGCCGAGUUGGAGAUUAAUGAAUUUCCCCAAAAUGCUCGAUGGAAGGUUACCCACAAGGAAACUCUGGGCCCAAUAUCGGAAUGGACCGGAGCUGCCAUUACUACAAGGGGCCAGUAUUUCCCACCUGGUCGGAUCCCAGGACCAGGAGAACGAAAGCUUUACUUGUUCAUUGAGGGACCUUCCGAGCUAUCUGUUAAGAGAGCUAAGGCAGAACUGAAACGUGUCCUGGAAGACAUCUCACACCAGUCCUUACAACUUCCUGGCGGGACUCAACCUGGCAGAUACCAAGUUUUAUAGAUAGAUAGAUCCGUUACUAGCUCUCACCUUUAUGGGAGGAACUAUCGCAAAAGUACUAGCUGAUAAAGGCCUCAGAAGGAAUGGACUUUAUGUUCAUUCUGAUGCAUUGGCUCGUGUUACCUGGCCUCGGAUUCACUAGUCCUUUAGUCAAUUUCAUAUGGAUGGUGCCUUGAGAACUUGGUGUAGCCAAAAGUCAAUUAGUAGAAUGGGAUGCUUUAUUUCCAGAACCAUAUGAUAUGAUGGAGUUUCUUUCUUUUAUUGUCAAAAGUGUUCGAUGAUGUUUCUAUAUUAUUAAUUUCCCUUUUGAUGAGGAAGAUGAUGUAUUUUUUUCAUGUCUUAGGUGUUACUGAAAACAU